UGGCCGUGCUGUGAGGAGGAAGGGACUGGAGGUUGUGCAAGGGACAGAAAGGGUCAGACAUUGUACAAGGGACAGACAGGGUUAGGUGGUCGUGCCAGGGACAGGAAGGAGCGAGUUGGAACUGCAGAAAGAAGAGAGAAAGAGCCAGAGCUUUGUGGAGCUGCUCAUGGGACUGCAACAUAGAAAAGGUUUGUGUCAAAGAGGGCUCUGCCACAGCACUGCCAAAACUGCUUCCAAUUAGUCCCAGAUCAACUGCAGCUGGAGCAAAAGGCUGAAAGGAUUACAGCAGAAAUAUUUAAGGCUCCUCCCCUUCUGGGAUGUGCCUGAGCCCAGCUCUGUACCUGUGAUGAAGAUGGGGUGAUGCCCAACUUUCUGUGCCUGGAGUGGCUAUCAGAACACUGUGGCCAAGGACUAAGGAGGGCAGGAUGAGCUCAGCCUGUCCCAGCUCUUGCAGGAGCUCUGCAAAUCUCUGACCUAUCCUGGGACUGCAGGAAAAUGCUCCAGUGACUGCACCAGAUCCCUACAGCAACCUGGCUGUCUCCUUCCCUGAAGAUGCUGCUCGUAUGGUUGGGAGACAGAGCUCACACUCAGCAUCAGCUUUCUGCCCGUGGCCCCACUUCUCAUCCCACAGUGAUUUGUGUAACUGCUGGUGGGUGCUGGUAGUCACACUCCAGAGGUGAUCUGCGAGAUGCUGCCCGUGAAGACACGGGGGACGACUUGUCAGUGCUGAGACAGCAACUCCAGAGAACGCGCCCAGCUGCUCUUACCGCUGUUUGGAGAGCAAAGUUUUUCUUCAACCUUUUCUUACAAAACGUGAAGCACAAAAACUGCACGUGCCCCUCCUGCCUGGCCUGCGAGAGGAAACCUUGUGCUCCCUCCAAAAAGCCAUCAGACGUCAAAUUUGUGAGUUUCCACGAAAAUGCAUCAAUGCAUUUCUGUACUGGCUUAAGAGACUGAGGACGGGAGAGAGGAAAAUGACAAGACUGUUUGCUCCUGCUUUGCCGGACAGUUGCAGACAAGACACUCAUCAGUCUUGUGUCAACGCUGGAUCUGGGCCAUAGUUGCAGGAAUCGCGCUAAGUGCUGAUUUUGUUGUUUGUUAUCCUUAGCUUUUGGUAAUUUACAAAUCUCUGAGCUUCUAAGAGACGGGGCUGCCCACAGCCUGCUUCAGCACUGCUGGAGCAACUGCUUCAGAACAAGAAGCCAAAAAAAAGCACCGGGGAAUAGCAGCAGUGAAGAAGUGUGAUUUCUGCUGCUGCCGUUCUGAAGACAUGGCACAGAGCGCCCUGCCUGGGAAACCCUCUGCCUUCCCACCACCCGACAUCUCCCCACGGAUACAGAAUGAUGGCAGGCAGGUUGUGCUGGUACCCAAAAGGCCAGUUCAGCACUCAGGCGGGGAAGGGCUCCCAAGGCUCUCUCAGCGCGCUGCAAAGCUGUUCCAACACAUUUGGGAGAGAGAGAGAGGGAGGAACAGGCACCCACCCAUGGGUUGGGAGAACCGCUGCCGGAAUACACCGGGGGAGGAAGGCGAGGCCACGAGGAAAGGCAGCCCCACACUCCAGCACCUCGGCUCGGUGUGUCCCGUGUAGGCACGGGAGGGGACGCAAGUGCACAGCCCGCUUCCCUGACACAGCGAUUGCCAUGGAGAGGCGAUUCGAAACAGCUCGGAGAGGAGACAAACUUGUUGUUCAAUCACCUGUGAAGCCGCAUGCUGGCGGGAAUGAUUUAUGAAUGUUUCGGUGAAAUUCGUUUUGAAACAAUCACAGCCAAGGAUAUUUAAGAGCUGGACUCUGCAGCCCAAGAGCUCCAAAAUGAAACAGAACGGCAUUUUUGUUUGCCCACGUUGCGAACAACACUGAAUACUAAUAGCUUUAGCACUGACUAAUCAGAUUCUUUUUUUUAACCUAAAAUCAGGAUUUUAUGCACAGCCUGUCAAGCUGAUAUCCGUCAAUUAAAAAUGCAGCUGCUAACCUGGUCAGCACAAGCAACUCUGUAUCACGCUGUUAGCAUUCCAGGCGCACAAACAGUUGCUGCUCAGUUGGGACCCAUUUCUGGGUUAGACUAUUCUGAUCUGCGGAAAUAACAGUGGGACGAAAAAAGGAGUGAGAAUACAACCCCGCAGCCCGACAAAUUUGGGUCACACAGAGAAUCCGCUAAUCCCACAGCUCAGCGAGCAGGGAGACAAACCCAAAUUCCUCUGGCGGUGAUUCCACGGCUACCUCGGUUUAGGAUGAGCUGAGCCCCAGGCUGGCUCCAGGGCUUUCUACCUGCAGCAUCGCACAUCUUAAACGCCGCUGUAACACACUCACCGGAAGGCAGACUCUGCGCUCCGAGACGCGUCUGGCACCAGCACCGUCACCUAACGCAGGGCUCCAGCCGCCCUACCUGCGGGUACCGCUGCGGGACCGGCCCCAGCGCCAACGGCGGGAGCCGGGACAGGGGGGCCGGAGGCGGGCAGAGCUCAAGCAGGCACAGAACAUGUAAUCCGGAGGAUCUCAGAGCCCCUCAGAGGCACUAAUCAAUUACCCUUGGUGCCCUGGGCAGGCGUAGCAGGGAGUGGUGCUGAACAUCCGACAAUCAAAACAGACUCUUACUGCUGGAUCAUAAUAUAACAAGCAGCUUUCGUGCCCAGACAGAAUUCCCACCGGUGUCAAAGGUUUUAUUUCCACUGAGGAGCUGCCCCUUUAGGUAUUGGAAGGUGUAUUAAGGUCUCCCUGGAUCCUCUUCCCUCUGGUCACCUUCAUGGCCCUCCUCUGGCCCUGUUCCAGCAGGUCCCUGCCCCUCCUGUGCUGAGGACCCCAGAGCUGCACAGAGUGUUCCAGCUGCCGCUUCCCUGGCUCCAUGCAGAGCACCACCAGCUUUGAUUUGUGUGUCUUUAAGCUGUUGCAUGUCUGGUGUCGUGAGCAGAGCACCAGAGCCCAGGCUGGUGGGGUGCCACGAUGCUCUUUCCAGCUGUUAGACCCAACUCUCACCACAAUUCUUCCAGCUCUCCGUGGCCUGGGACAGUGCUUGGCCCCUUGCUGGUGGUUGCAUGAAGACUUUAAAUGGUCUGCGUGUCUGGAAUGUUCGUGUGUGUUGUGACUCCUCGGAAAAGCUCAGGGCUUUGAGCCUACUGUCUUCCAGCUGCAACGUCUACCGUGCCUACUCCUCCCAUCCCUGGUGGGAGUGUUUGCUACAUCAAAGCCCAGUUUGUGCUGCCAGCGGAUGAUUUCUCUGGUAUAUUUACACUUGUAAAGGAAGAUUUUUUUUUUUUCCCCCUCUUGUAAGUAUCACAGCACUUCUGUCGCUUCUGUGCUGGCCCAUCUGUGCACCAUUUUCACUUGUACUGAUUCAUGUUCACAGAGUAGUAAGAACUGUCUGUAAGUGUUUGAAUUUCUUAGUUACAGUGGCCUCAUUUUGCUUUCCUGGUUAUCUCAGAGGCAGAUGUGUGCUGGGGUUUCUUUUUCUUAAUGACACCUCUGGACUCUGUCGCAUUGGUAAAAAUCUUAAUGAAGUAAUUUUCACUUUUCUGUUCAGAUUUUUCAAGACUUCCUGAGUUUCUAGAGUUUGUUCUCUGCAGCCAGAUGUGCUUUCUGCCUGUUUUCUGCACGGCCAGAAAUCACUGGGUUUGCACCCCCUCUGAAAGUGGGUACAGCAUCUUUAGCCUGUCAUAAGGUUUCAACGUCAGAUAUUCCUGAAGAAGGGAACUUUAGGUUGUUCAUGCAGGUUGCAUUCAUUGUGCUGUGUUCUUUAUCAUGAGUGAGCAUGUACUCGUUUUCUCCACUUCUGCCUCAUUGUGGAACAGACCUCUGUAGAGACACCUCUGGCUGUUUUCAGAGCAGACAGAAGCUAUUUACUGAACCACUCUUGAACAUUUUGACUUGUCUUUGCUGCUCCACAUGCACCCAGGGUUGUCUUCACUGCCUACAGGUCAGACUUGUCUCUGUGGCCAGGCUCACCACAGGCUCUUUUCAGUAGCUGCUUCUCCUGUGUUCACUGUGUCCUGCUCAGCUUGACCUGCCUCCAGCUCUCUUCUGGUGCCUCAAAGAAUCUACAAAAAGGACAUGUUUGCAGUGAAAGCUCUACCAGGCCCUGCAGCUGCAGAAGAAGUGUCCUUGUCCUCUGCUGGAUUCUGUGUGCCUCCCCUCACUGGUGUGUCUGUGGGGCAGCAAGCUUGCUCAGCACUGAGGGUAGUCAGAGUAAAAUAUAUAUAUGUGCAUGUGUGUAUGCAUGUACAUACCUAUACAUGUUUUUAUAUAUUUAAAUCUGAGGCUGAAAACAGCCAAAUUGUGAUCCUUCUCUCCCCCUCUGAAUAUGAAGAGAUGUGGUUCACAGCAUUUGUCUGCCAGUAUUUCAAGGUGCUGCUUUUAGAAGCGUGGAGCUGUGAGAACAUUUCAGUAAAUUACAAAAAUGACACUUUUAACAGGGGCAAAAGAGAGUAUUUUUCCUUAUAUAUAUUCUUGGGAGAGACACAAGCCAUUUCAGCCAAAAUCAGAGUUUAGCCCAAGGCUGAAUCCAGCUGGAUAAAUUUUCAGCCUAAACAAUUAAUUAUAGAUGAAGUUAUGAGCAACCAAAACUGGAGUUUAUACAGCAGUCACAUGUGAUUACAGCAGCACUUUCAACUCUGGAACACUGGCACGGGUGUCAGUGCAGGUUCUUGGGUGACUCCCUCAGGAAGGGCUUGCAGAGCUGUGAAACCCUGGCUUGCCUUUUUGAGGGAAUUGGAGCGAACAUUUCACAUCAGAAAUAAUCUGCUGCUGGAAGAUGAAUUAACUGGUGGCUUUCAGAGCAGUCUUGUCUGUAUUUGGAGUUUACCCAGGGCCAGGUUUACCCGGGCUAUUAUGUUCCUGCUGCACGUGGGAGGGUGUGAUGAAGAGGGAGCCUCCUAUGACAGGGAACAGCUCAGGCAUGAGGAACUGGGAUGGCAGAGAUUAAUGGGGCUGCAUCCUGCUAGCAGUGUCUCCAUCUGAGCAAGGCUUCCCUGGGAAACCACAAAGUAACCUCCUGGUGAUGGAGGUUGUCUGCUGUAAAAGAAGCUCCUUGCUUAGCAGGGAGAACGCACCGAGACUGCACGUGUGUCCUGAAUGAAUGAUUCCUCAUGGAGAUGCUCACGCCGCACACAAACACGUUUUAGAGGCUUGUGCAUGGGGAGAUAUUCUUGACUCUGGCUGCUAAAUUGAGCUGCUUGUGAACCCUUUCAGCAGUAGAGGUAGUGCUGACAAAUAGUCGUCUUUUGUGAUGAAAGGAGCGCAGGUGAGAGGAAAUUUUGUGGGAGGAGAUCCUGCUCUGAAUUUCUUCUGGAAACCAUAAUUAUGUGAUUCAGAGUAGAAAGGUACGAGGCUUUCCAGUGAAAGCUAUGAAAAACACUUAGGGAAGCAGCCUAGAGAUGAGGCUGCUCAUUCAGACCUUAUCUAUUCAUGUGGGAGCGAGGAAAUCUUAGCACUCUGCCUUAUCUCCUCUCCCCCAGGAGAUCAGUGUAGAGAGAGCCUGACCUCUCGCUUACCGUUUCAAAUCAAACCCGGUGUAAUAGUGGCUUUGGCCAUGCCGUGCCUCAGUCACUUAAUGAAAUAAUCUUUUUUCCUUGCCCUUCUGGGCAGAAAUAUGUCCUGCCCAAACACCACUUAAGUGAUACCUGGAAGAUAGCUGUAACUGAGCUGUGGCAGAAACAUCGUCCCUAACUCCCCACAGGCUUUUCCUGCAGGUGCAGGGCUUGGGGUGUUCCAGGCAGUGGAAGUUUGUGUCUCUCACUGGGGCAGUUCCUGUGUUGUUUAUGAAGAGGAUCCCUGUUUUCCCUUGCUCCCGGGCUUCUGCAGCUCCCUGCGGGUUUAAAUUGACUUUGAUUCAAUGUUUAUUAAAAGCAGUCAGCGCGAGGAGAGUCUCAGAUCUGGAAUGGAUGUUCUCCAAGAACAAGAGCACCUCGGUGCCAGCUCAGGGUUAUCCAUACAAACAGCUCCCAGCCAGAGCCAGCCAGGAUCUGUUUUGCUUUCUCACACUUGGAGCCGGUAUAUUUUAAAGGAUAUCGAGCAGUAAAUGCGGCAAAGGGGAAAAAUUGUUACAGACUGUAUUUGGCAGAAACCCAGCAAAGAUAAAAUACCAUACGUUCUGUGCAAUGAGCUCCUACAUAAAUGAUUCAUUCACUAGAACACAGCUGGGGUCAAUGUCUUCUAUUUGAAUAGCCCAAAGUUAUGCAAAUAUUUUACGUGGAUUUUUCUAAAAAAGAGGGGAAAAGGACAAUAUAUAAUGUUCCAAUAAAAAAGCUCUUUAUCUAAGUAACUUUUAAGAAUCAAAAUCCCACAAGAACAGUGCCGCCGUGUUAUACACGUAUAUACAGCAGCGAAUGACAAGAUAUGCCCUAGAGAUGCAAACUCUGAAAAGAUUGCUUGUUUUCCUUUGUUUUGCCAGCCAAGUCUGUGUUACAAAUUCUGUGUUGUGGAGAUCACACUAUUUCAAAGUAUCAAAUUGCUAAUUAAAGAAACUACUCAAGGAAACUUUCCAGUAGAACAAUAUAUGCUGUGGGAUAAUAGUAGUCACUAUUUCUUUAAUGAGUUUCUUCCCUUACCAGAAUUUCUUACAAGACAUUCAGUGCAGCCAUUCAGUUAGAUUAUUAUGAAUCACAUGUGUAUUAUUUCUGAUUUGGUAUUAACAUAAAAACUUCUGAUGAACCGUAGUAUUACGAAAACAGGUCUAGUGUAUGGAAAGGCAAUAUCAUUCCUGCUGAUAAAAGACUGGAAAUGGAGG